UACGGAGGGGGCUAGCGUUGUUCGGAAUUACUGGGCGUAAAGCGCGCGUAGGCGGCUUAGCAAGUUAGAGGUGAAAGCCCGGAGCUCAACUCCGGAAUUGCCUUUAAAACUGCAAAGCUAGAAUCAUGGAGAGGUGAGUGGAAUUCCGAGUGUAGAGGUGAAAUUCGUAGAUAUUCGGAAGAACACCAGUGGCGAAGGCGACUCACUG
rnacentral:rRNA from 1 species